CGAUGGCUUUUCCGUGAGUUUGGGUCGCCCUGUGAAAAACCUGACAUCACCCCGCCAACUCUCAAUGCGACUUUGGGGUCAGCGUUGGCAUUUGGCAAGCUGCAUUCGUGAGCGGCCAACAUCCGUUGGCUGGCAAAACGGGUACAAAACCAAGAAAUGCGUGGCGUCCAAAUGAGGAGCGCGCCUCAUUAAAGCGCGCACGGUCUGCGGAGCCAUUACCAAAAGACGUGCAGGGCUCCCAAUGCAAUUGCAAAAAAACGCGCAAAAGAGCAGGAAAAAUAUUAAAAAAGUGAAACGAUACAAAAAAAAGUACCAAACGACAGCUGCCAAAUACCCUGCAGAAAAAGUUAAAAGCCCCAUCUAUGAAUAAGCUAUUUAAAUUAGAUUUCAAAUCGAUUUCAGAAUAUGUAUAAUGCUCUUUACAGAAACUAACAACUUACAAUCACUUUUGAGUGCAACUAGUUGUUGCAAGAAAUUUGUGUAUUUCACUACAGAGAUACAGAACUGAGAUCUUUA